CCUACGGGUGGUUGCAGUGAGGAAUAUUGGGCAAUGGAGGCAACUCUGACCCAGCCAUGCCGCGUGAGUGAAGAAGGUUUUCGGAUUGUAAAGCUCUUUCGGCUGUGACGAUGAUGACGGUAGCAUCUAAAGAAUCCCCGGCUAACUUCGUGCCAGCAGCCGCGGUAAUACGAAGGGGGCAAGCGUUGUUCGGAAUUACUGGGCGUAAAGGGAGUGUAGGCGGAGCGUUAAGUCAGUGGUCAAAUUGAGGGGCUCAACCCCUUCCCGCCAUUGAAACUGGCGCUCUUGAGUGGAAGAGAAGUAUGCGGAAUGCGUGGUGUAGCGGUGAAAUGCAUAGAUAUCACGCAGAACCCCGAUUGCGAAGGCAGCAUGCCGGAUUCCGACUGACGCUGAAGCACGAAAGCGUGGGGAUCGAACAGGAUUAGAUACCCCUGUAGUC
rnacentral:rRNA from 1 species